CAUAAAAAUGCAAAUGAGUCUCACAGUUGUAACACACUAUAAAUAUAUUUGUCCAUACCUCUGCAUUUUCUCUCAAAUAGAAUUUUGUAUUUGCAAAUCACUUUGCGUUUGUUUGAAAGUCGAGUUUUUCUUUGCAAAGCAAAUUGUGUUUAUUUGCAAAAUGCUGGAUUUGUUUGAUGAAUAUUGGCACAAAAUUCGCUCCAUACCAGAUAUGAUGCAAAGGCAUUGCGUAAAAUCCACUUCCUUGUUUCUCAACAUGGCUGCUAAGAAGGAAACCCGGCAUUGGACGUGGGAGGAGACACUCUGUUUAAUUGAUGUUUGGGGUGAACCACGUUACCAAAGGCAAUUUGAACAAAUGGUGCACAGCCACACCGUUUGGGAAAAUAUUCACAAAGACCUCGUCCUCCGGUGUCCGUUUAUACAGGACUUUGGAGAUUGGACCAAAUGUACAGAAAGGUUGGACUACCUGCGAAGAAAGUACCGUGAUUGCCUCAAACGCAACAAAAAGACCGGAUCAAACCCUAUAAAAUGUCCUUAUUUUGAUGAACUGGAUGCAAUUCUUGGUAAGAUUAAUGAACAUUUCCUUUCUAAUGUUAGCUAACUACAGUUAUUGCCAGUUUAGCCGCAACAUCAUGUUUCAGCGGCUAACGUAACUUACAGUUAUGUUAACGUUAUGCAAACAUAUGGUACAGUAAUAGCCAGUUUAGCCACAGUGUACAGUGGCUAACGUACAGUAAUGUUAACUUGCUAACUUUAGUAAUGCCGCACAAUUUAGGCAACCACUUGCCAAUUGUUGCACGGUAGCUUUACUUUAGUUUUCUAUUGUGUAUUUACAGGUUGCCGACCUAUGAACAACCCCAGGAGACAUGAGGAUGGAUAACAGGGGGAGUUCAGAUGAGGAAUCUGACUGUGUAGGUUCAUCUGAGAGCCCUGAGGAUCACAACACCUCCAGGGAAAACGAUGCAGAGGAUGAGGCAUCCAGUCAUGGCUCAGCCUCCAAAGCACUAACACCCCCUCCUCCUCGUCCUGCUGAACCCAAGCCACAAGCACAUUGCCGAAGAAAGGGACAAAAAACACAGAUAAUGGAGGCAAUGGAUAAGGGUCUGGACCGUCUCCUGCAAAACGAGAACACCCAUGACUUCGACAGGGAGCGGUUUAAAUGGGAGAAAGAGAUGGAGAGAAAUAGAAUGGAGCUGGAAAGGAAACGCCUUGAUUUUGAAAUGAAGAAGAUGGAAGCUGAUCAAAAGAGAGCAGAAGAGAACAGGUCAUUAAUGCUCCAUUUGUUUCAGUGCUUUAUGCCCCAGUCCUACCAAUCACCUUUUUCGGCCCCUCAUUACUACCCUUAUACACCACUUCCCCAACGCGCAUCAGCUGAGAUCAUGGACUAUCCAUCUACGUACAGUCCCUGGACCCCCUCGCCCCAGCAGCAUAUAAAGUGCACUACUACAAUGACCCACCCAAGUAGCAUUUUGUGCCGCAUCAUCUUGCAGGAAAACAUUAUUUGUUCUCAGGCCUUUUAG
rnacentral:lncRNA from 1 species